CAAUCCAGCCUCCUCCCCUCCACUUUUCGUCGCCGCCGUCGAUUUUCUCUAGCUACGACCACACAGUCGCGCCACCUCCCAAGCGAGCCAUCGCCUUCUCCGCCACUGGCGCUAACGCCUUCUCCGAACAUCGACGAACGCUUCUCCGAACGUCGUCGCUAACGCCGAAGAAAUCUGGAAGAAAAAGAUGCGACAACAAAAGAAGAAGACUGAUUUAGAAAUGGAAGAUAUGGUAUUAAGAGAGGCUGUAAGAAUUGAAGAAGAAUUGAAGGCAGGAGCAACCAAAAAAGAAUCUACAAAUAAGUAAGAAAAAGAAAGAGAAAAGAGAUCGUUGUAGCAAAAAAAGUGGAAGCCGAAAAGAAGGAAGCUGAAAAAUUAGAAGCCUAGAAAGAGAAGAGACAACAACCACUUAAAUAGAGGAUGGAGAUAGAAAAUAAAUGUCAUGUCACUACUACAAAAGACGUGAAAUCUCUACGCCAUGACCUCGACGCUAGAGAUUCAGCGUUAGCACCAAAUUAUGUUUUGCGUGGUUUGUCGACGCUAUCCACCGUCUACCAAUUUUCUCGACCAUAAAACGCGUAGACAUUGUUGAAAAUAAUGCCACGUGACCUUUGCUAGUCUAGAAACCCGCUGCUUAGUUUGCCGCGUGUUAAAAUUUUGGGGAAAAUGGAAAACUUCCCAGUACUCUCAACCCUAACACUGUUAAGUUCUCAUUUCUCUCUCCGCCUCCUUCAUUCCUUGACGGUUCUCAAGAAAACCCCAAGGAAGUUCAUCAAAUUUAAGCUCUUCACGCUUUUUUGGAAUCGAAUUUGCAAGCCACUUUAGGGUGGGUUUGACAUGGUUUGUAGUGGUAGAAACAAAACUAAAAUUCCAGAGCAGGCAAGUAACUCCUCUUUCUUCGUUCUUCCAAAUCUUUGUUGGCCUGUUGUUUCACUGUGAGUACUGGCUGUCCGCUUUUAAUUUCAGUUCAAACAAGCAGAAGAGAUAACAUUAAAACUAAAGUUGUUAUUGGUGAAGAUGACCCAUAACUCUAAAGUUUGUCCUCUUGCUGAGAACUUCAGGUAAGCAAAAACUUGGUAGUUGUGAUGUAUGCUAUCCGUUGUGCAGGUAAGCAAAAACUUGUAGUUAUUCAGGUAAGCCCAACUUUUGGUUGUCAGUUACAACAAAUGUGUUUUCUAUGCUAUACUUUUGGGUCUCUGUCUCAAAUUUAAUUGUAUCAUGACAUUGGCUACCAAAGACAUUUGACAACGAUCUAAAAUGCAACGAUAUUUCAAUGAUUUUUGGUGUUUGAUACUGCUUGCAAGGUGAGUUUAAUAGGUGGUCACAACUACUUUUGUCAUCAGAGGCCACUACUGUAAUAGUUUUAAUAUCAGGCUACAUUUAUUCUUUUUAAGUUUGUCUGUUUGUAUUAUUUAGAUGCUUUUCUUUAAUUCAGGUGCACAAUGCUUUUUUGUAGCUCUAGAGUAACUAUAUGGAACACCUAAUCUUGAGUUAUAUUAAAUGAAUUUUGAGGUACUAAAAAACUCCAGUCUACAACGUUAGAUAUUGUUUGCAAGGGUCUGUGUUGGUGCUUGUUUUUUGGGUAGGUUCUUGAGAGUGUGUGUGAGAGGGUGUUGUCAUUCUGUGCAGUGCUUUGCUGGCUAUAUAGGCACGAGUGCAUUGACGUUUAGAUCAUUAUAGGGGUGCGAUGAGCUUGCUUUAAGUGAAUACAGGACCAAGUUCUUUCAUAUUCACUCCUAUAAAAUGGGUGUUAUCUCCACGCCUAGGGCUCGACACCUUCAGUAUAACGUUAUUUUAAGAUUUGAUUAUCCGUUUUUCUCACUGUCCUUCGGUGUCCAAUUAAUUGUCCUCUAGUUCUGGUGACUCUAUUUCUGUUAUAUUUUUCGUUUUAUAGAAAGUACACCAUUAUUGUUCAUAGUAUUACUUAUUUAUUAGGUAAGCUAUUCGUUUAUCCAUUUCAUUCAAAUAGCCGGGAUUGAAAUUGUUUGUACUCUCGUAUGUUUAUUUUUCUACUUAUUAGGUCCUUAGAUUCCAUGGAUGAGUGUUCAAGAUUAUGAACACAGACUCAAGUCUGUUUCCUCUAUCCUCACUUAUUACUUCGUAAUUUCCCUUUUAUGUUGAGCUUGGUCAUAAUUUUCCACCAGCCUCAUAAGCUUAAGAUGUUGACCAAAAAGAUUAGAAUAUGUACUACAUGUUUUAAGGAUGGUGAAUAAAAUUGAGUGUAUUACUUCUUAAUGUGUUGUUUAUGUGACUUCUGUUUGACGUUUCUUUUCUCAAUUUACUGCAAGAAUAAUUUUCUUCUACAUUUUCUCUAAUAUAUUUCUUUUAUUAGAAAAAAAUAGAGGCUGCAAGUAUAACUACUAGUACUCAACGAUAAACUUUGGUUCAUCUUGUUUACCUAAUGGUAUGACCUUUCAUUUUUCAUGCCAUACUUCUAUUUUGUGUCUUUAUUCUAUCUCUAUUCUCCAGGUGUCUCUGGCCCUUCAGUAUCCUCAUGCCUGGAUCCAAGUCCUCGAUUUAAAUUGUGACCGUUCUCAUUCUUUGGCUACUGAUUUUUAACACCCAGGUAUGGUAUAUUAAACUUUAUGCCCUUUGUGUAUUUGUUACUUGUUUCUCUUAUUUAUUUUGGGACUAGCUUCAGUUCGACGUACUUUUUCUCCUUCUUUGUGUAAUUUUAGCAGCAGUGUUAUUGCCAGGUUGUUAAGAAGUUUCUAAGUGUUAAUAGUCAUAGUAGGAGAAAUAUAUAUGUGCUUUGGACUACAAAGCCUAUCUUUGUGUGAAUAAUCAUCGAUUAUUCCGAGAAUCAAUGUUUCUGUCAAUUGCAUUCCACAUUUCUGGAAAGGAAAUUUUUGGCAAGAUUUUGUUAAUUAUCUUCUUUUUUUUAUCAGUUUAUUAUCCCUGAAGUUUGAAAUUAUCGUUUGUAAUUUUGGAACAUGAUUAUUGUUAUUCAUUAAUGUUAGUGGUGAUCUAGUGAGGGUGGCAGAAUGUGUCUUCAACUCUUGAUAAGUUUUCAGUUUUUGCAUACUAACGAAGGAUGGAAGUUCAAUAUCUGUAGAAUUUUAGAAUGUUGUAUUUCCUAUGAAUGGUGUAAUCAAAUCUCUGCUUGUUACAAUCACAUUUUGAUAAAUGGAAAGCAGAAGAUGUAGAAUGGUCCAAUAAACUGAAAAAUAGUAUCAAUAGUGUUUCUGAGUGUUCUUUGCGGUUAGGGGCGGACUUGUUUGGUUACUGCUUCUAUUAUAUAUUGCAAUUUGUUGCUCUGGUGCUCUUUUUUGUGCUGCUAUCCAAUUUGUUGUUCUAGUGUUGUUUUCUGCUGCUAUCCUAGUUGUUCAUAUAAUUCUAUGUCCGUCGUCCUUUUUCGGAUAAGUUAAGAAAAAUAGCUAACAUGUUUAUUGUCUGAGUGGUGUUUUUUUCUUUGUUACUCUGUUAUUAACUUAAGCCUUAUUUAGUAUGCUUAACAUGCUGUUUAGCUAACAUGCUGUUUUUUUCUUUCUACAGAAUGGGAAGCCUUUUUAUGGCCAAUUAACUCAAUUUAGUAUGCUUCUUUUGUAAAUCUAAAUGGAUGCGUCCAGCCUGUGCCAUACUGCCAUGUAUUGCACCAUUAUACACUCUCUCAUUUAAAAAAAACUGAGUCAUAUACUGCCACGUUAUGGAAACAAAUUCAUCUUAUAUGAUGAAUGGUGUCCAAACUGUAAACCUCAUCCCAUCAUAAUAGAAAGGUACUUUCACUAAAUCAAUUUGAUUAAUGUCCUUAUCCGGAGCAUAUAGGAGGGUCACUGUCUUGCAUAAUCCUAUAUGAUUGCAUGCAUGUAAGAUACUACCAUGGAGUUAUGCAGUUCGAUUAUUCUUAUCUAGUUAUGCAGAGAACUAUCAUGGAGUUAUGAAGUUUGAUUAUGCUUAUGUAAGCUGCUACAUUCAAUUUGAUUAUGCUUAUGCAGAAAACUAUCAUUGAGUUUGCAUUUAUUGUUUCAUGGUUGUUUUGGUUGAUUUCUUAUGACCGGUGAUUUUGAUUUCCAACUCAUUGUUUUGUUUUGUUUUCUUUGAAGAUCGUCCAACAUGAUAAGGAGCAACACGCGAAUGAAGGCCUGAACACUUGAGCUUCGUAUAAGCUACUACGUACCACCAUUAGAUCCUAGUUUUUCUAGGCUUUAGUUCUUCGGUUUAGUAGAUACAUUUUGUAUUUUUGAUUAUUAGUUAGUGACAUUUAAGUACUAUGGAUGUUGGUUAGUACAUUAUCAUGUACUAUGGAUUUUAACGUACUACUUCAAGAUUUUUAUAAUUUAAUUUUAAUGUUACGUAAA